GUGUUGUAUGAAAGGAGAGCUAGUUAGCACUCCCCUAGACAAGGACGGAAUACAAACACAUAUGGAUGACGGCACAUCAUCCAUCCGUUUUC